AAUUUAUGCUUUACUGAGUUUAAUAAUGUAUUUAGAUCAGAACGUAAUGGCAAAUAGUUAUUGAGAAUGUAGACAUCUUACAUAACUUAUAGCAGUUAAACACAUCUUGUACGGUGAUCUGAGUAUAAUUUGUAAUAAAAAGCAAUAUGCCGACGGCUCAGCGCAGGUUACAUAUUGUUAUAAACCCACACUUGGAUGGUCAGUGCGUAUUAUCCGACCGAAUGGCGAUACAAGAGGACUACAUCAAAUCACCAUUAAAUGUCCAGUAACAUGCCGCAGUAGGAUUAUAUUUAAUGCUACGUACUGGGAGAAGAUCGAUACGAUCUCUGUCUAUACGUAGGUUACUUUUAUUUGAUGUGAAAGAUUUUAAAUGUUGUACGUCGGCAAUAAAAUCAGAGAUCCUCCGGUUUCGGCGUCUACAUUCGGCGCGGUUGGAACUAGGCCAGUGAGGAUAUAAAUCCAUAUUGGAAGCGUGGAGGGUUCAUUAAUUGUUAACCGACAUCAAAUUAAAUGCUUUAACUAGACAAAGAGCUAUAUUGCUCAUAAAAUAAUGGACAAUUUUUUCUAAGACAAAUUUAUUAAUAUUACCAAAUUAAUUAAAAUGUCAAUUAGUUGGUAAUUAAGGUAAAAACAAUGAAACAUGUUCAUCAGCAAAUUCAAAAGUGAUUAAUGUUUAUUCAUUGUUGAUUGUUUAAUUACAGUGAUCAAAGAUUAAUUUCAAAGUAUAAUAAUUGCUCGGUGAAGACAUAUUUGUAAGGUUGAAUUAUAUUAUUUUUUAAAUAAAACAAAUGGUAGAGAAAUCGGUUAGUGUGUUUAUUUUGUAGAAUUAAAUAAAACUAACACGAAAUUUAAUGAUUUAUCUUUAUUCAAUGUUAAUUAUUUAAUGAUAAAAAAAUAUUCAAUACGAUUAUAAAAUAAAAAUUCUUUACGAUAAAUUUACUCUAAACAAGGCAAAACAUAGCUACGCACUAUGCGUAGCUGUCUAAUAUUAUAACAAUAAUAGUUCGUAGAACUAUUAUUUUGUUAGUGGCAAUGUCAAAAAAGAUUCAAUUUAAAUUGUCCUUAUCUUAAGACAUGUAUUCUUUAGCGGUCGAAUGUGCAUCUAAGUAUUAUGUAGGACGAGGCGUUUUAGCAAUAAAUAUGAAAGUAUAAUGUCGGGGGAGCAUGAUACCGCUUUGAAUGCUAAACCCGUACUGAACUACAAACACAGGCCGAUGCGGGGGGAUGUUGGCUGUAGUAGGGGCAAGAGGGGGCACACAGUCAACUAACCGUGGGAAAAGCCUGCGUAUACGGUGUGAACAGUAAAACAUAAAGCGUUCAUUUGUUAUUUUGAUGCGAAUUCUUUCGAACUUGAAGUUUAAGUGCCUACCUGUGAU